GGUGCUACGCCGGGCUUGAACGGAUAACUCUGAUGACGUUAAUCACGGAGGUAACCCUCCUGGCACCU
rnacentral:tRNA from 1 species